AUGAAAAGCCACGAAGACAGAAGAAAUAACAAGUUCAUCUCUAGCACUGUUCUAGCUACAGUUCCCUGGGAUAGAAGCAGAAGGUGGUGUGGCCUUGCUAUUAAACUCCAAGGGACUGAUUCUCACUGGAGCCUGAAAUUCCAUACUGAAUCUUUGGAAUCUUUGCCUGCUACUGAUGCUGCUUUAGCUCAUGUCCAUUUUAACUGCUUUUAUGAUGUAAGUAUAUAUAAAAUAAUUACACAAUUUGAGUUUAAAGAUGCAUUGCAAACACCUGUGAAACCACCAUAAUGGACAUGUGCAUAACUUCAGAUUGUGUAGCCCAAAGAAAAAGGGUGAUUGUAUUGCAGUCUAGCUCUACUAUAAAGUCCAGGCCUACUUUGGGUGAAUUUGUAUGGGCUGAAGUGGUAUUGUUAGAUUUGAAAUGUGUGUUCCUAG
rnacentral:lncRNA from 1 species